GCCCGCUCAGAAACUACAAAGGAAGUUGACGGGGCCCGCACAAGCGGUGGAGUAUGUGGUUUAAUUCGAUGCAACGCGAAGAACCUUACCUGGUCUUGACAUCCCGGAGACCCUUAGGAAACUAGGGGGUGCUUCCAUCUGGAAGAAUCUGGAGACAGGUGCUGCAUGGCUGUCGUCAGCUCGUGUCGUGAGAUGUUGGGUUAAGUCCCGCAACGAGCGCAACCCUUGCCUUUAGUUGCCAGCAGUUCGGCUGGGCACUCUAAAGGGACUGCCGGUGUUAAACCGGAGGAAGGUGGGGAUGACGUCAAGUCCUCAUGGCCUUUAUGACCAGGGCUACACACGUACUACAAUGGCCGAUACAAAGGGCAGCGACACUGCGAGGUGAAGCCAAUCCCGUAAAAUCGGUCUCAGUCCGGAUUGGAGUCUGCAACUCGACUCCAUGAAGUUGGAAUCGCUAGUAAUCGUGGAUCAGCAUGCCACGGUGAAUACGUUCCCGGGCCUU
rnacentral:rRNA from 1 species